UACAGAGGGUGCAAGCGUUAAUCGGAAUUACUGGGCGUAAAGCGCACGUAGGCGGUUCGUUAUGUCGGAUGUGAAAGCCCUUGGCUUAACCGAGGAAGUGCAUCCGAAACUGGCGAGCUAGAGUACGAAAGAGGAUCGCGGAAUUCCCGGUGUAGAGGUGAAAUUCGUAGAUAUCGAGAGGAACACCGGUGGCGAAGGCGGCGAUCUGGACGAUGACUGACGCUGAGACGCGAAAGCGUGGGGAGCAAACAGG
rnacentral:rRNA from 1 species